rnacentral:rRNA from 1 species
CCUACGGGAGGCAGCAGUGGGGAAUCUUGCGCAAUGGGCGAAAGCCUGACGCAGCAACGCCGCGUGCGGGAAGAAGGCUUUCGGGCUGUAAACCGCUUUCAGCAGGAACGAAAAUGACGGUACCUGCAGAAGAAGGAGCGGCCAACUAUGUGCCAGCAGCCGCGGUGAUACAUAGGCUUCAAGCGUUGUCCGGAUUUAUUGGGCGUAAAGAGUUCGUAGGCGGUCGAGUAAGUCGGGUGUGAAAAUUCUGGGCUCAACCCAGAGACGCCACCCGAUACUGCUUGACUUGAGUUCGAUAGGGGAGUGGGGAAUUCCUAGUGUAGCGGUGAAAUGCGCAGAUAUUAGGAGGAACACCGGUGGCGAAGGCGCCACUCUGGAUCGAUACUGACGCUGAGGAACGAAAGCAUGGGUAGCAAACAGGAUUAGAUACCCUGGUAGUCCAUGCCGUAAACGGUGGGCACUAGGUGUGGGUUUCUAUUAACGAAAUCCGCGCCGUCGCUAACGCAUUAAGUGCCCCGCCUGGGGAGGUACGGUCGCAGACUAAACUACAAGAAGUAGACGCGNGAGACGUGCCGACGACGACGACGAGGGAGAGG